AGAGUCGAUCGGACAGUCGCUGUUUCGCUACUUCGGUAGUGAGAGGGAGGAAAGUCCGGGCUCCAUAGGGCAAAGUGCCAGGUAACUCCUGGGAGGCGUGAGCUUACGGACAGUGCCGCAGAAAAUUACCGCCUAAGCACGUAAGUGCCGGUAAGGGUGAAAAGGUGCGGUAAGAGCGCACCGCACGGCUGGUAACAGUCCGUGGCUAGGCAAACCCCACUUGGAGCAAGACCAAAUAGGGAUCCAUUAGGCGUGGCCCGCGCUGGAUCCGGGUAGGUUGCUUGAGGUCGUCAGUGAUGGCGAUCCUAGAGGAAUGACUGUUCACGACAAAACCCGGC
rnacentral:RNase_P_RNA from 1 species